rnacentral:sRNA from 1 species
ACCUGAUAGAACUGUUUCCUUCUUUUUUGGCUUCUGACUGCAUUGCCAACAUCUUAGGUAGGAGGAGUAUGAGUUGAUCAGACUUAAAAACUUUUAGGGACUGUGAUGACUAUCCUUGGUCAUCAACUUGACUACAUCUGGAAUUAACUUAAAUCUAAAAAUUACUGGACACACCGGUGAGAAAAUUUUGCUUAUGAUCAUUUGAAGUGGGAAGAUCCACUUCUAACUCAGAUCCUGGAUGUAUGAAGACCCAUCCCUAAUCCAGACCACAGCUUCUGCUAGAAGAUAUAUAAAGUGCAUGGGAGAAGCAAGUUCUCCCUUUGCAUGCUUUCUCCCUCCCUCCUUAGCAAGUCUUUCCUUCACUGGCCUUAGAUCUCACUUCUAAGUGAGAUUCUGGGAUAUACUGAAGAUCAGCUGACACAUUAGACUCAUGGACUGAACAACUACUGGAUUCUUGGACCUUCUCAUGGUAGACAGUCAUUGCUGGACUAGUUGGAUCACAGCCUGGCAGAGUUUCUCUGGGCAUCUCCAGUUAUCCUGGAACUCACUCUGAAGACCAGGCUGGCCUUGAACUUGGAGAUCUGCCUGCCUCUGCCUCCCAGUACUAGGAUUAAAGGCAAGCACCACCAUCACCUGGUUUUGAAAUCUUAUAACAGCAACUCACUCAGUUGUAAACCGAUAUGGCAUAUGGACCAUUGAGACUAAGGAUAAGCAAGAUUUGACAGGAGAACAGAUCACAGGCCCCAAAGGGAAAAGAAACCCAACUAUGAAGUUAAAAAUUAACAGGAUAAAAAAGUAACCCAGGGAAUGAAGCAGGAUAUGCAAAAUUAUAUAUGUAACAAGUGGCUGUUGUAGAAGUUCGUAGCACCCAAAGAGAUGAGCUAAUUUAAAGCUGAGAAGAUGACUCGAUAAUUCCUCAGAGAAUACCUAAAAUCCCCAACAGUCCCUGGAAAACAGAACUCAGCAGUAUGAAGCAACAGAGAAUUCAUAUGAAACCAUGAAACAUACGUCAGACCUACUAUGAUGGAUGCUAUCAAAGGAACAACAGUGUCACUAAGGAUACAGAGAAACUAGAAACCUUGUGUACUGUGACUGGGUAUGUGAAAUUCAUAGAACUGUUACAGUCUGAGGCAUGCCUCAGUCAUGUCAACAGUCUGAGGUUUUGGCCAUGCUAACUAUGCAGAUAACAGCACAAGCUCUAGAAGGAAACUACAUUCAGCUGCUCAGCAAAUGAAAGCGUCUGGGACAUUAACAAAGACCUGGUAAUAAAGAUGGACUAACAGCCUGUCGUUUUUCAGGUGCUGCUCCCAGACUACUUGAUUUAUGAUUGCAUUUAAUCCAGGCAGCAUUGAGUCUCGUAGAUGGUUGCUUGGAGGAACACAUAGCAUGUAGACUUACCAAGAUGGAGGGGAGACAGUGAGUUUAUUUGUGGUGUGAAGAUAAUAGUAGCAAGACUGAUCGGGACCUUGAGGACUGCAGAGGCCAAACUCAAACAUCUGAAUCCAUCAUGAGGUCCAGGAGAGGUCCAGGAGGGGCGUGGGGAGGGAUGGCAUAGCUUAGAGCUUCAUUUGAACUUUAUGUGCAGGGUAGUUUGGGGUUAGCCAAAGGCAUGAAGUCCUGUAAAAAAGUUAAAAAAAAAUUAAUGGGAGCUUUGAUCAUGGGAGGGCAGAUACAGAAACACUAAAAACUGAGUGUGAGGGACAUGAAGAAAAUCAAUGUCGGUAAGCUGGGAGACUGAUUAGAGAACGGAGUCACUUCAAACUCUUGUAUUUACUUUAAUGCCUAUGUACAACACAUAUCGAACUACGAUUCGAUACGUCAAUACAAGGACUUACUUAAGAAAACCUUAGCACACACCUCGCUGUUGACGCAGAAUAGACAAUCAUAUAACAUAAGUGUAUAGAACAAGCUUUGUAAAACUCAUUGACUUAAGAAAAAUAAAGACUGGAGAAAAAUAAAAAAACCAGCCUCA